UUUGCUAUUCUGGGUUUCGCUUAGUGGCUUCCACCACUUAAAAUGGGCAUAUCCAGUGCGGUUGACCACUAAAUAGCAUUGCUCUAAAUAGCAUAAAUUGAGUAUGUUUUAAAACGUCUUCAAAAUAACAUAUUCAAAAAAUGGCCGCCAUAUCUGAAGCGAUAAAAAAUUAAAAGUGCAAAUGAUAGCCACUGUUGCCAAUAAUUUGGAAUGUUACCUUAAGAUUCAAAAUAUUAAAUUUGAAAAAACUCAAAAAGGAAAUCAUUUAAUAAUUUAUUUAGGGUACGAGUACCUUAUAAAAAGUGCCAACAAAAAAUUUAUACACUUAAGUUGUCGUGAUAAUUGUUCUGGUAGAGCUAAGCUCUCAUUAAAGGACAUAAUAAUCACGAUAGAACACACAGCGAAGUGUAAAUAUAACACCCAUCUUAGUCUUCCAUCAACACUGAUAUCUUAAUUUUAUCCAAUGGUAUUCCACAUUUGGAACCACAAGUUUCUCCCAUAGUGCCUGAUAUCUCAAUUUCAUCUAAUGGUAUUCCACAUUUGGAACCACAAGUUUCUCCCAUAGUGCCUGACACAAAUCUAGAUUCCCCUCUUGACAUAGCACAAGCCUUAUUAGACUUAAAUUCAAAUAUUUAUGAGGCUCGUUUUGUCAAAAGCCAAAAGGGGAAAAUGUUACUCUUCUUUCAGAACUAUCUAUAUAGAUUUCACUGUCAAAAUAGGGACAUUAUAAAAUAUCGUUGUAGAGUAGCUGAUUGUCAUGCUAAAUGCAUAUUUGAUGGUGCUUAUAUUGCUUUGAGUAUACAUGAUCAGCCUUUUGAAAUAGGGACAUUCGAGAUGCUUAAAACUAAAGAAGCACUCGAAAACAUUGUAGCUUAGAAUCUCUUUGAGACACGCUUAAACAUUUAUCAACAAACUAUGGAUAAGAGAUGUUUGGAGGAUCCAGAAAUAGAAAACUAUUCUGAGGCGAUACCAUCAUUUAUAUCUUUGAGGAGUCACAUAGACAGACUCCUUAUGAAAUAUCGGCCCCCUAUGCCUCAUUCGAUUUUGGAUAUUGAGUUAUCAGCAGAAUAUGCUAUGACAACUCGCAAUGAACGUUUUCUAAUCCACGGAACAGGUAACUUAUACGUUUUUGGUACUGAUUCCAUGUUGCGUUUGACCGAGGGUUCUAACAUGAUCUACAUGGAUGAAAUUUUCAUGUAGCUCCUUCCUUAUUUUAUCAACUUUAUACCUUGCAUGUUAUGUAUGAAGGUGUUAUGAUACCUAUCAUUCACGCUCUCCUUCCGGAUAAGACAAAAGAAACAUAUAUCCGGCUUUUUCAAAUUAUUACUAAUUUUUGCGCCGAAAGCCAGAUAACCUUUAAUCCUCGAUUUGGCCAAACAGACUUUAAGGCAGCUGCUAUAUCAGCUCUCAAGUUUGUAUUUCCUAGCAUGAUUAUAAAGGGAUGUUUUUUCCAUUAUUCGCAAGCGUUAUGGCGAAGAUGUCAAUCUUUAGGGUUGGUAAGCUUGUAUCUGAACCACUCCAAUGUUCACAAAGUUGUUAGGCGCAUGACAACUUUGCCUUUUUGUAAGGAGGAAGAUAUAUCUAGGGUAAGGCAAAAUUGUUAUAUUAUGGCGUCUGAAAAUCCCAUGCUCAUGGAUUUUAUGGAGUAUAUGGAUACGACAUGGCUAGGACUUAAUGCCAUAUUUCCUCAUAAUCAUCUAGAGGGGUUUCAUCAUGCCUUAAAGAGAAAAACGGCACACGCUCACCCAAAUGUUUAUAUUCUUAUAAAAACUUUAAUAGGUCAUCAACAUUCUAACGACCUCAAAAUUAUCCAGAUCAAUAAUGGAUCUAGAGUGCGGCGAAGAAAUAGAAAAUAUGAAAGAAUCGAUGAGCAUAUUACAAAUUUAACACAAAUAUAUGAAAGAACUUCUGAUAUUACAGAAUUUUUAGAUAAAAUAUCUUUUUUAGUAAAUUUUAAAUAUUAAAACUAUCAAUAAAUAUCCGUUUUUAAUUUUAUUAUAGUUUUAUUUUAUAAUAAUAAAUUUGUAAAUGUUGAU